CCGGCUUCUGUAGGAUCCAGGGAGCCAGCCGCACGACAUCGCCGCCCACCGAUCACCGCAGCUGAUCGCCGCCUCCGCCGCCGCCGAUGGAGAAUGGACCAAUCCUGAGGAGGCUGGACCAUGUGACUGGUCCAUCCAAUGAGUGAAUGAAGUGUCACUGAGAGAGAUCACGUGACCGCCCGAACAGGAAGUACGGGUCUUAUGUGACACCGGAGGGGAAAGUAUGAGAUGACGGACAGGAAGAACGGAGCCAGGUGCAACAAGGCGCAUAUGUGAGGUGCUCCUUUCAAGAUUUCUGACAGAGAUGUAAAAAAGAAUAAUCAGAAGUGUUGUCCAAGAGUCUAGGACCACUUGUGGAGAGUCUGGAAUUAGCAAGGCAAUGAUCCUGAACACAGAGCCAAGGAAACUCUCAAAUGGUUUUAAAGAAAGAAAAUAAAGAUGCUAGAAUGGCCCAGCCAAUUAUCUGACUUAAAUUCUAUUGAACAUCUAUGGAAAGAACUGAAGAUCUUUAAGUCAUAGAAAAGGCCCACAGAACCUUUGAGAUUUGUCAAAAGCCAAUAUGUCUCAAGUGGGAGGUUC